rnacentral:rRNA from 1 species
UUGGAAAGGGAAACGAUUGAAGUCAGUCAUGCCGGUGGGAAUCAACUUAGGGGAAACUCUAGGUGCACUUCUUCGCUUGGCAGGUCAACGUCGAUUUUGAAUGUCAUAAAAUAAUUGGGGGAAGGUAGCUCCUUCGGGAGUGUUAUAGCCCUUGAUAGAUGUGAUGUUUGGGGUCGAGGAUUGCAACGGAUACCCUCUGGGGCUAGCCGCCUGAUCUCUAAUCGGUGUUGGGUUACGGAUAGCAUGCUGACCGUGAUCUAAUUACUGGUUAAAAGGUUAGAGCAUGCAUAAAUUCGUUAAGGAUGUUGACGUA